rnacentral:rRNA from 1 species
UACGUAGGGUGCGAGCGUUAAUCGGAAUUACUGGGCGUAAAGCGUGCGCAGGCGGUUUGAUAAGCCAGAUGUGAAAUCCCCGAGCGCAACUUGGGAACUGCGUUUGGAACUGUCAGACUAGAGUGCGUCAGAGGGGGGUGGAAUUCCGCGUGUAGCAGUGAAAUGCGUAGAGAUGCGGAGGAACACCGAUGGCGAAGGCAGCCCCCUGGGAUGACACUGACGCUCAUGCACGAAAGCGUGGGGAGCAUUCAGG